rnacentral:rRNA from 1 species
CCUACGGGUGGCUGCAGUGAGGAAUAUUGGUCAAUGGCCGGAAGGCUGAACCAGCCAAGUCGCGUGAGGGAAUAAGGCCCUAUGGGUCGUAAACCUCUUUUGUCAGGGAGCAAAGGCGUCCACGUGUGGACGAGAGGAGAGUACCUGAAGAAAAAGCAUCGGCUAACUCCGUGCCAGCAGCCGCGGUAAUACGGAGGAUGCGAGCGUUAUCCGGAUUUAUUGGGUUUAAAGGGAGCGUAGAUGGGUUGUUAAGUCAGUUGUGAAAGUUUGCGGCUCAACCGUAAAAUUGCAAUUGAUACUGGCAGUCUUGAGUACAGUUGAGGUAGGCGGAAUUCGUGGUGUAGCGGUGAAAUGCUUAGAUAUCACGAAGAACUCCGAUUGCGAAGGCAGCUUACUAACCUGCCACUGACAUUGAUGCUCGAAAGUGUGGGUAUCAAACAGGAUUAGAUACCCCUGUAGUC